rnacentral:rRNA from 1 species
CCUACGGGAGGCAGCAGUAGGGCAUUUUGCGCAAUGGGCGAAAGCCUGAACCAGCCAAGUCGCGUGAGGGAGUACUGCCCUAUGGGUUGUAAACCUCUUUUGUCGGGGAGCAAAAGCCGGACGUGUCCGGCUGUGAGAGUACCCGAAGAAAAAGCAUCGGCUAACUCCGUGCCAGCAGCCGCGGUAAUAAGGAGGAUGCGAGCGUUAUCCGGAUUUAUUGGGUUUAACGGGUGCGCAGGCGGAUUUUUAAGUCAGCGGUCAACUCGUGGGGCUCAACCCCAUCCAGCCGUUGAAACUGGGGAUCUAGAGUGUGCGAGAGGUAUGAGGAAUGCGUGGGGUAGCGGUGAAAUGCAUAGAUAUCACGCAGAACCCCGAUUGCGAAGGCAGCAUACCGGUGCACAACUGACGCUCAGGCACGAAAGCGUGGGUAUCGAACAGGAUUAGAUACCCUGGUAGUC